rnacentral:tRNA from 1 species
AGAGUCAAAGUCCGCUGGAUUGGGCGCUUAGUUGUUAAUUAAGAUUUUUACGGGAUCAAGGCCCGUUGGCUCAU